rnacentral:rRNA from 1 species
UCCAGACUCCUACGGGAGGCAGUAGUGGGGGAUACUGCACAAUGGGGGGAACCCUGAUGCAGCGACGCCGCGUGGGCGAAGAAGUAUUUCGGUAUGUAAAGCCCUAUCAGCAGGGAAGAAGAAAUGACGGUACCUGAGUAAGAAGCACCGGCUAAAUACGUGCAAGCAGCCGCGGUAAUACGUAUGGUGCAAGCGUUAUCCGGAUUUACUGGGUGUAAAGGGAGCGCAGGCGGCACGGCAAGCCUGAUGUGAAAGCCCGCGGCCCAACCGCGGGACUGCAUUGGGAACUACCGGGCUGGAGUGCCGGAGAGGUAGGCGGAAUUCCUAGUGUAGCGGUGAAAUGCGUAGAUAUUAGGAGGAACACCAGUGGCGAAGGCGGCUUUCUGGACUGUAACUGACACUGAGGUACGAAAGCGUGGGGAGCAAACAGGAUUAGAUCCCCCAGUA